rnacentral:tRNA from 1 species
GGGGCUGUGGCGCAGGCUGGUAGCGCACCUCGUUCGCAACGAGGGGGUCAGGGGUUCGAGUCCCCUCAGGCUCC